rnacentral:lncRNA from 1 species
AUGGACCCUCCGAGGUUGAGAGAGAAGAGGGUCAUAUCCUGGCAUGACCGGGCCUCGGCUGUGGGUCAGCAACCAGUUGAGAGUUUCAGGCACUGCUGGAGCAAGGAAGGGAAGAGACGUCGAGGGUCAGCGAGGAAGAUGGAAAGGUGCUUGGCAUCUGAUGUUGAGUGGCAUCUUCUGGCUCAAAUAUGGUCAUUGGCGAGUCCCCGAGCCACAAAGCCUUCUCAGAACGCAGCUAAAGGCGGCCCUUCUCCUCCAGGUGGCCAGCCCACCUUCUUCUGCCCUGCCCACGGGCUCCCCCACGUUUUGACGACGCCACCGCUCAGCCUAGCUCGUCUCCAGGCUGAGCCCGACGGCCCUGCCGGGACUUCAGAGUUUACUUGCCCCGCGCCAGCACCAUCUGUCUGUGAAACCUCAGAUCCGCCGCAGAAAGAAGCAGGCGCAGGCGCCCAGAGCCUUGCUGAAGGGAGGGGACCGGGAGAGAGAGAAAUACAGAGAUCCGGAGGGGAACAGCAAGUGGAUGGGAAAGAACCUUGACAACACAAAACUCAUUUACUAAUGGACUGGUUUUAAGUUUCUCUUCUCGGGGUCCGCAAAUCUCCCUGCCUGAGUCCUCGGCCUUUUCAACCCUCGCGGGGAGCACAGUCCCCCAGGAGGCAGGUGGGCGGCUGCUCCGGCGCCGCGCUGGCCGUCGGAGCCCGGGAUCCCAAGGGUCGAGGGCACCAGGAGUUUCCAACCGAGCAGAGGAAAAAGGUGAAUGUUGUCACUGCAGCCAAGACUUGGGGAGUUUCCGCACUGCCCUAGAGCGACGACGCUGAUUUAUUGAAGAAACACCUUCCGAUGCUCUUCCUUUCCAAAUAUAGGUAGAGUAGGAUUCCCGCUGUAGUUCUUGAUGGCGAAGGAAUGCCAAGAAAGCGGGCCGGGAGCCCCAAAGCAUCUCUCUCCAAGCCAGAAGGGAAGCAAGUGGGUUCCACACAGAGGUUUUUAAACUAAGGCCUUAUAUCGACCCAGCCGGGAAACCCCACCAGCAACUAGUUCAUUGGUCUUUUCCAUGAACAUUUGUGCGCACCCGGCGGUUACCUGCACAGGGGAGGCGCAGAAGAGCCGAAACCUGGCGUCGGGCGCCGGUCGCCAGCCGCGUUACCCUCGGGAACCGCCGAGAAGCAGCGAGCGCAGCAGCUUUAGUUGCUCGUUCGUUCCCUUUAAAUCUCCGACGCAUCUCUGCUUUUCGUGUGAUUUGCAUUGACAGCAAAGGUUUUAAGUUACUAGAACAACUCAAACCUUUCUGUGUGCUAUUUAAAAUGGAUCAUUUGGUUUAUGUGGUUUGUAAAUUCAUGUCAUUUUACCUCUUUUAGUGGUUUUCACUGAAAGGCUCCAUUUUGGGAAACCUUAUAUAUCCGAGCCAACAAUUAACAUUUAUAACAAUUGGUUUCCCUAACCAAGGGAUCGAAAUAGUAGGUAGGCUCAUUGGUACAAAGCGAAUAGCACUUCUCCUUUCUAGUUCCGUGAUCUACUGGUUUAAACGCAAGGAGAAAGGCCGGCGGGCCCCGGCACCGCCUCUGAGGACUAGGACCACAUCUCAUCAACGCAGUGCCCGCCGUCCUGGCACCCACGCAGUCAUCUCCCCAGUUGUCGCCAACGUCUCUCACGUCCUUAUUCCUUUUGAAGAAAGAUGAAAAGAAGUGGGCAGAGAGGUCCAGAGGAAGCAGAAAAAAGGUGGUCAUAUUGGUGUCUAAUUGCCAUCUUUCUGCUCCUUGUCAUCUCCUGUAAAUUUAUACCUGCCCUUAUUUGUCCAAGCUACGCCUCAUUUCCUUAUACAAAAUUGUUAAUUAUAAAGUACACCCCAUACUCAACUUACCCUUUGUCUUUUAAGAGACAUGGCUAUACUUACAGACCCUCUACCCCUACACACACAUUUUAAUUCUGCGCACUUGCUCCAGACUUGAGGGUAUUAAUUGAUUUUUAGAGCGGAGUGUAAGCCUCCGUUCCAGUCUUCACACAGCUGCCAUGUCAAUAAGGACUAUUCCAAGCAGAGACGUUCCUUCUGGCAGGACACUGAAGCUCCUUAAGACUUCAUCUGAAGCAUCAUGAGCGCUAAAAUAAGACGGCAAGGGAAAAUUACCAGACACAUGGGCUUCAGCUCAGCAGUGCCAGGCUUCCAGUUUAGAAAGUAAGUCAUUGGGCACACCAUAUGGUAGGGGCUUUUUUGAAAUAAUGUGCACACACACACACACACAAAGAAAAGAAAAGAAAAGAAAGAAAGAGAAGAAAAAGAAAAAAGAAAAGAAAUUCUAUGCACCCAUUAAAUGCAUUUUAAAAAUAACUCUAAAGGUAAUGAAAUAUCAGCAUUUAUCUCCAAGGUCUAAUUGCAUGGGAUACUGCAGAAUUUUAAGGAUGCAAAAAUGCAUUGUGUGGGAGUUCAGGGGAGAAGCAGCUUCUCUCUACUUGGAAUCUCUGGAGAGAAAGCCAGGGAGGUGAAACUCUUCCUGAGUUUAAAAUGUACAUUGCAGGGUGCACUGAACUAGGCACAUUAUUUUGAAACCAUAUAAAUAAUACAAGAGGAAAUUUACCCAGUGCUCCUCCACUUAUGUAUUAAUAUAUAAAUGGUUCUGUGGAGCUGGGCUCUGGCUCAUGUAAUCAAAACAUAUUUGAAGAAGACAAGCAAGUUUAAAGAGCCAAGAGUUUGUUCUUCG